GACGAACGCUGGCGGCGUGCUUAACACAUGCAAGUCGAACGGAAAGGCCUGCUUUCCCUUGUGGCUUGCGGGUACUCGGGUGGCGAACGGGUGAGUAACACGUGAGUGAUCUGCCCCCAACUUGGGUAUAAGCCUGGGAAACUGGGUCUAAUUCCCGAUAGGACUGCAGGGUGGUGGCGGUGGUGGAACACGAUUGUCUAGUGAUUGGGGAUGAGCUCGCGGCCUAUGAGCUUGUUGGUGGGGUAAUGGCCGACCAAUGCGGCGACGGGUAGCCGGGGUGAGAGGGUGGACCGCGACAGAGAGACUGAGAUACCGCACAGGCACUUACGGGCGGCAGCAGUGGGGAAGAGAGGAAGAGGGGCGGAAGACUGAAGCAGCGACGACGCGUGGAGGAUGCCGGGCCUCGGGAGGUAAAAUGCUUUCGGCGGCGAAGAAGCCAUUUGGUUGGAAGGGUGGUGACGGUAGUGGGAGAAGAAGCACCGGCUAACUACGUG
rnacentral:rRNA from 1 species